rnacentral:ncRNA from 2 species
AAUGAUGGUAGAGGUGCGAACUUCAAUAGUAGCCAGUUUGAGGAGGAAUGGUCUCCAAUGACAGCUGGUAAAAGGGGAUGUUCGCCGAAGUAAGUAGGGCACCAUUUGCUUUACCUGCUGGUUUUACAUUUAAGAGAUGUAAAAUUGUCAAGAAAUAAUUUCUUGGAGAGCUAUCUCAUUG